CCACCAGCCAGCCUUUUCCUCUUGCAAGUUCCCUCUCUCUCACUAGAGAGAGAGAGCUGUUUUUCUUUCUCUUUCUUUUGUCUAUUAAACCCCUGCUCCUAAACUCGUGUGUGUCCGUGUCCUAAACUCUCCUGGCACCAGAAGAACCCUGAUUAUUUACCCAGACAACUGUAGCUGCUUCAAAGUGCAAAUAGAAUCAAAAGUUCCUGAUAUAGAAUAAGCAAAUGAUGGAAGAAGCCAAGUUUCCUGAGUGGCCACUAGGAAAACUCUGUCUUCUUUAUCAAAACUAUGAGGUUCCUGACCCUUGGAGAUGAGAGUAUAAUUAAAACUGCAAUUAGCAAGUAGAUAAUCAGGAGCGGUGAAAAUACAAAAGAAGAAACUGAGAAGAGCUAUUAUGUUAAAUCAGAAUCUAAAUAUAGUUUUCUGUAGUCUAAAAAUAAAGGAAGCAUUCUAUUAAUU
rnacentral:lncRNA from 10 species